rnacentral:rRNA from 1 species
GUCCACGCCCUAAACGAUGUCAACUAGGUGUUGGGAGGGUAAAACCUUUUAGUACCGUAGCUAACGCGAGAAGUUGACCGCCUGGGGAGUACGGCCGCAAGGUUAAAACUCAAAGGAAUUGAUGGGGACCCGCACAAGCGGUGGAUGAUGUGGAUUAAUUCGAUGCAACGCGAAAAACCUUACCUACCCUUGACAUGUUCAGAAGGCCGAAGAGAUUUGGCUGUGCUCGAAAAGAGAACUGGAACACAGGUGCUGCAUGGCUGUCGU